rnacentral:tRNA from 1 species
GCAUAUCAAGGAAAUGUGUCAGCUUCCCAAGCUGAAUGUCGUCGGUUCGAGUCCGAU